UACAGAGGGGGCAAGCGUUGUUCGGAAUUACUGGGCGUAAAGGGCGCGUAGGCGGCCUGUUAAGUCGAACGUGAAAUCCCCGGGCUCAACCCGGGAACUGCGUCCGAUACUGGCAGGCUUGAAUCCGGGAGAGGGAUGCGGAAUUCCAGGUGUAGCGGUGAAAUGCGUAGAUAUCUGGAGGAACACCGGUGGCGAAGGCGGCCUUCUGGACGAUGACUGACGCUGAGACGCGAAAGCGUGGGGAGCAAACAGG
rnacentral:rRNA from 1 species